rnacentral:rRNA from 1 species
GAGUUUGAUCGUGGCUCAGAACGAACGCUGGCGGCGUGCCUAACACAUGCAAGUCGUGCGAGAAAGUUCCCUUCGGGGAGCGAGUAAAACGGCGCACGGGUGAGUAACACGUAGGUAAUCUACCUAGCAGUCCGGAAUAACCAGCUGAAAGGCUGGCUAAUGCCGGGUAAGACCACGGCCUCUGCGGGGGCUGCGGCCAAAGGUGGCCUCUUCUUGAAAGCUAUCGCUGAUAGAUGAGCCUGCGUACCAUUAGCUAGUUGGUGAGGUAACGGCUCACCAAGGCUCUGAUGGUUAGCUGGUCUGAGAGGAUGACCAGCCACACUGGGACUGAGACACGGCCCAGACUCCUACGGGAGGCAGCAGUGGGGAAUAUUGCGCAAUGGGGGAAACCCUGACGCAGCGACGCCGCGUGGGUGAUGAAGGCCUUCGGUCGUAA